AACGGUCUAUACCUGCGGUACCUGCGGAGGGAUCAUUAUCAAUUUACAGCGGACUUCGGUCCUGUCUGCACCCUUGUCUUUUGCGUACUAUAUGUUUCCUCGGUGGGCUUGCCUGCCGAUAGGACACUUAUAAACUCUUUUGUAAUUGCAAUCAGCGUCAGAAAACUGUAAUAGUUACAACUUUUAACAACGGAUCUCU
rnacentral:misc_RNA from 1 species